UGUACUAAAUACAUAUUGAUCUUUUUUGCUUUUGUUGUUGCUCUGUGAAUCCUAUUUCAGACUAUGUGUUUUCUUUUUUGGAAAUAGGAGGAUAAAUUAGAUUCAUUUAAUGUAUUAGCCUGACUAUCCUGAGUAAUUUUUUGGAGUUGUUUAUAUUCAGAACAAAUGUCCACAGAAAUCUUCACUCCUAGAGUAUGGCUAAAAAAUAUCUACAUCAAAGAGAGUAAUUACUUUGCUUUCAUUAGAAACAAUAAUGGCAACGUCAUAUAACCUAAGCUCCUACCUUGGUUCAGUUAUUUUCAAUAAGUGAGUCAUUGACAAUGCAUUCCAACUCUUUUUUUUUUCACUUUCUUAAAAUUAUACUUUAAGUUCUGGGGUACAUAUACAGAACGUGUAGUUUUGUUACAUAGGUAUACAUGUGCCAUGGUGGUUUGCUGCACCCA
rnacentral:lncRNA from 10 species